AGUCAAGGCAUCGCUUCACCUCUCCC
rnacentral:piRNA from 1 species